GACGAACGCUGGCGGCGUGCUUAACACAUGCAAGUCGAACGGAAAGGCCCUGCUUUUGUGGGGUGCUCGAGUGGCGAACGGGUGAGUAACACGUGAGUAACCUGCCCUUGACUUUGUGAUAACUUCAGGAAACUGGGGCUAAUACCGGAUAGGAGCUCCUGCUGCAUGGUGGGGGUUGGAAAGUUUCGGCGGGUGGGGAUGGACUCGCGGCUUAUCAGCUUGUUGGUGGGGUAGUGGCUUACCAAGGCUUUGACGGGUAGCCGGCCUGAGAGGGUGACCGGCCACAUUGGGACUGAGAUACGGCCCAGACUCCUACGGGAGGCAGCAGUGGGGAAUAUUGCACAAUGGGCGGAAGCCUGAUGCAGCAACGCCGCGUGCGGGAUGACGGCCUUCGGGUUGUAAACCGCUUUCGCCUGUGACGAAGCGUGAGUGACGGUAAUGGGUAAAGAAGCACCGGCUAACUACGUG
rnacentral:rRNA from 1 species